rnacentral:snRNA from 1 species
AUCGCUUCUCGGCCUUUUGGCUAAGAUCAAGUGUAGUAUCAACCACUGAGCAACAUUAACCAGGCCAUUAUGUCUAGUUUUGCUCAGGUCUUCAUUCCUUCAUUUGUAGAUUAUUGUAACUUCUUUUUUUGAAAAUUCUUU